GAUGAACGCUGGCGGCAUGCCUAAUACAUGCAAGUCGAGCGAACAGACGAGGAGCUUGCUCCUCUGACGUUAGCGGCGGACGGGUGAGUAACACGUGGAUAACCUACCUAUAAGACUGGGAUAACUUCGGGAAACCGGAGCUAAUACCGGAUAAUAUAUUCAACCGCAUGGUUCAAUAGUGAAAGACGGUUUUGCUGGCACUUAUAUAUGGAUCCGCGCCGCAUUAGCUAGUUGGUAAGGUAACGGCUUACCAAGGCAACGAUGCUUAGCCGACCUGAGAGGGUGAUCGGCCACACUGGAACUGAGACACGGUCCAGACUCCUACGGGAGGCAGCAGUAGGGAAUCUUGCGCAAUGGGCGAAAGCCUGACGGAGCAAUGCCGCGUGAGUGAUGAAGGUCUUCGGAUCGUAAAACUCUGUUAUUAGGGAAGAACAACUGUGUAAGUAACUAUGCACGUCUUGACGGUACCUAAUCAGAAAGCCACGGCUAACUCCGUG
rnacentral:rRNA from 1 species